AUUGAACGCUGGCGGCAGGCCUAACACAUGCAAGUCGAGCGGAUGAAGAGAGCUUGCUCUCUGAUUCAGCGGCGGACGGGUGAGUAAUGCCUAGGAAUCUGCCUGGUAGUGGGGGACAACGUUUCGAAAGGAACGCUAAUACCGCAUACGUCCUACGGGAGAAAGCAGGGGACCUUCGGGCCUUGCGCUAUCAGAUGAGCCUAGGUCGGAUUAGCUAGUUGGUGAGGUAAUGGCUCACCAAGGCGACGAUCCGUAGCUGGUUUGAGAGGAUGAUCAGCCACACUGGAACUGAGACACGGUCCAGACUCCUACGGGAGGCAGCAGUGGGGAAUAUUGGACAAUGGGCGCAAGCCUGAUCCAGCCAUGCCGCGUGUGUGAAGAAGGCCUUCGGGUUGUAAAGCACUUUCAGCGAGGAGGAAGGGGUGAGUGUUAAUAGUACUCAUCUUUGACGUUACUCGCAGAAGAAGCACCGGCUAACUCUGUGCCAGCCGCCGCGGUAACAC
rnacentral:rRNA from 1 species